AGCCCAGUGGUCUAGUGGAUAGGAUUUUUUCCCACCAAAGACGCUUGCCUGCGAAGCAAGUGAUCAGGGGUUCAAGUCCCCUCUGGGCUA
rnacentral:tRNA from 1 species